GACGAACGCUGGCGGCGUGCUUAACACAUGCAAGUCGAACGGAAAGGCCCUGCUUUUGUGGGGUGCUCGAGUGGCGAACGGGUGAGUAACACGUGAGUAACCUGCCCUUGACUUUGGGAUAACUUCAGGAAACUGGGGCUAAUACCGGAUAGGAGCUCCUGCUGCAUGGUGGGGGUUGGAAAGUUUCGGCGGUUGGGGAUGGACUCGCGGCUUAUCAGCUUGUUGGUGGGGUAGUGGCUUACCAAGGCUUUGACGGGUAGCCGGCCUGAGAGGGUGACCGGCCACAUUGGGACUGAGAUGCAGCCCGAACUCCUACGGGAGGCAGCAGGGGGGAAUAUUGCACAAUGGGCGAAAGCCUGAUGGAGCAACGCCGCGUGCGGGAUGACGGCCUUCGGGUUGUAAACCGCUUUCGCCUGUGACGAAGCGUGAGUGACGGUAAUGGGUAAAGAAGCACCGGCUAACUACGUG
rnacentral:rRNA from 1 species